rnacentral:lncRNA from 1 species
UACGGAGUAGUACGGAGAGGGCGAGGGUGGGUAUACCGGUAAGUGAGGGAAAGGAAAACGGCAAAUGUGAAGCUGUUCGAGUUCACCGAGAUAAUAUUAUUUCUAGUACCGUGAGUCCAUGACUCCACGUGCCAGCCAUCCAGGCACACAUACAUCUUGGCUACGGACGCUAAACCUUGUGCGUGGUAUGGCUGAAGGCUUACUUUGCAGAGACUUUUGACGCCUGCACUCUAUCGGUCGCUAGUCAACUCUAUGUUGACGGUACCGAUCUUGACUUUCUUGAUGCAUUCCUGGCGAGCCUCACCAAGCGUCAACUCCGACGGUCUUGCCACUCCAUAGCGACUGUGGAGGAAUCCCCACGGGGUUGCGUACAUGGAGCUAUCGUCUCUGGGCAGAAGCGAGAGAGAAUGGAGAUUAGGGCUAAGAGUUCAUCCUCGGGAGAUGGAAUCGGCAGUCGGCUAGCCGAGACGCUGUUUGCACCGUUUGCUUUCCGUCCGGCCGGACUUCCAUGUUUAUACUGCGUAGUUCAGCCGAAGCUUUCCGUAACAGCCUAAAUAGUAAAAUGCCUGUCCCUCGAUGCGAGUCCGUGUUCGAGCCUCGAGGGCUUGUUCAGGUUUCGACGUUGGGAGCGGAGAAGAGAUGCCGGAUGUACCGGUACAGAGAAUCCAAGGUUUCUCGAGGAUGACUUUCGGUGAGAGGCGGUAGAGAUCGUCCUAAGCUAUCAAAGGGCCAUGAAAUACGGAGUAUCUCUCACAUCAAUCCGUCAACCCUAAUUCAGCUGUCACGUAGAACCGCAGGCUCAGCAACCUUUAUA